AGUUUAAGUGAUGAGUUUCUUUACCGCCCCAGUCUGAAGAUUCAUGACUGAUUGGUUACCCCUCUGAUUACUA